CACGGGGGGAGCAAGCGUUGUUCGGAAUCACUGGGCGUAAAGGGCGUGUAGGCGGUCAAGUAAGUGGAAUGUGAAAUCCCCCGGCUUACCCGGGGACCGGCAGCCCAUACUGCUUGGCUUGAGUACGGGAGAGGAUGUGGGAAUUCCUGGUGUAGCGGUGAAAUGCGUAGAUAUCAGGAGGAACACCGGUGGCGAAGGCGCACAUCUGGCCCGAUACUGACGCUGAAGCGCGAAAGCUAGGGGAGCAAACGGG
rnacentral:rRNA from 1 species